rnacentral:rRNA from 1 species
GAUGAACGCUGGCGGCGUGCCUAAUACAUGCAAGUCGAGCGAACAGAUAAGGAGCUUGCUCCUUUGACGUUAGCGGCGGACGGGUGAGUAACACGUGGGUAACCUACCUAUAAGACUGGAAUAACUCCGGGAAACCGGGGCUAAUGCCGGAUAACAUGUUGAACCGCAUGGUUCUACAGUGAAAGGCGGCUUUGCUGUCACUUAUAGAUGGACCCGCGCCGUAUUAGCUAGUUGGUGAGGUAACGGCUCACCAAGGCAACGAUACGUAGCCGACCUGAGAGGGUGCUCGGCCACACGGGAACUGAGACACGGUCCAGACUCCUACGGGAGGCAGCAGUAGGGAAUCUUCCGCAAUGGGCGAAAGCCUGACGGAGCAACGCCGCGUGAGUGAUGAAGGUCUUCGGAUCGUAAAACUCUGUUAUUAGGGAAGAACAAAUGCGUAAGUAACUGUGCGCGUCUUGACGGUACCUAAUCAGAAAGCCACGGCUAACUACGUG